UAGUCCUUUAAGUAAAAGCCGUAAGCUUUCAGCAGUCUUUCCGCAACUGCGAAGCUGGGGAGAUCCCGGCCCGGUCGAUGACGUUGGAUAUCUUUGUCCUCGGCGCUUCUUGGACUAACCUCUCCCCACCAACCCCUCAAUAAAAACGGCUUGACCCUCA